rnacentral:rRNA from 1 species
UACGGGGGGAGCAAGCGUUGUUCGGAUUUACUGGGCGUAAAGGGCGGGUAGGCGGCCACCGCAAGUCAGUUGUAAAAUCUCUGGGCUUAACCCAGAAAGGUCAACUGAUACUGCGGGGCUAGAGUGCAGAAGGGGCAACUGGAAUUCUCGGUGUAGCGGUGAAAUGCGUAGAUAUCGAGAGGAACACCUGCGGCGAAGGCGGGUUGCUGGGCUGACACUGACGCUGAACUGCGAAAGCUAGGGGAGCGAACGGG